GGAAGAUAAACAUUGUCAGCUGGGAAUUGUAGACUCAGAGAAACUAUCUUUCAGGAUGUAGGUGAAAUAAAGAUUUUUUCAGGCACUUAGAACCUGAAAGAAAUCAUCACCAGUAAAACAACACUAUAAAAAAUGUUAAAGAAAAAGUUUCAGGCAGAAGUAAAAUAAUAUCAAAAGGAAAUUUGGAUCUACAUAGAAGAAUGAAAAGCACUGGAAAUGGUAUCAACAUGGUUAAAUAUAUAAGAUCCUUUUAUUUCUGUUUGAAUUCAAUUGAUUGUUUAAACAAGGGGUCAGCAAGCUAUAGCUUCAUGGGUGGACUGCCUGUUUAUGUGAACAAAUUUUUACUGAGACACAUUCAUGCUCAUUUGUUUAUGUAUUAUCAAUGGGUGCUAUAGAAUUACAAAAGCAGAAUUAAGUAGUUGUAACAGAGCCUAAUGGCACACAAGCCUAAAAUAUUUAGCUUUUAAGGAAAGCAUGUCCGGUUCUGGUGGCUCAUGCCUGUAAUCCCAGCAUUUUGGGAGGCCGAGAUGGGCGGAUCACGAGGUCAGGAAAUUAAGACCAUCCUGGGCAACAUGAUGAAACCCCGUAUCUACUAAAAAUACAAACAUUAGCUGGGUGUGGUGGCAUGUGCCUGUAAUCCCAGCUACUCGGGAGGCUGAGGCAGGACAAUCGCUUGAACCCAGGAGGCAGAGGUUGCAGUGAGCUGAGAUGGCACUACUGCACUGCAGCCUGGUACAAAGCUAGACUC
rnacentral:lncRNA from 10 species